UUAAGCGACUAAGCGUACACGGUGGAUGCCCUGGCAGUCAGAGGCGAUGAAGGACGUGCUAAUCUGCGAUAAGCGUCGGUAAGGUGAUAUGAACCGUUAUAACCGGCGAUUUCCGAAUGGGGAAACCCAGUGUGUUUCGACACACUAUCAUUAACUGAAUCCAUAGGUUAAUGAGGCGAACCGGGGGAACUGAAACAUCUAAGUACCCCGAGGAAAAGAAAUCAACCGAGAUUCCCCCAGUAGCGGCGAGCGAACGGGGAGCAGCCCAGAGCCUGAAUCAGUGUGUGUGUUAGUGGAAGCGUCUGGAAAGGCGCGCGAUACAGGGUGACAGCCCCGUACACAAAAAUGCACAUGCUGUGAGCUCGAUGAGUAGGGCGGGACACGUGGUAUCCUGUCUGAAUAUGGGGGGACCAUCCUCCAAGGCUAAAUACUCCUGACUGACCGAUAGUGAACCAGUACCGUGAGGGAAAGGCGAAAAGAACCCCGGCGAGGGGAGUGAAAAAGAACCUGAAACCGUGUACGUACAAGCAGUGGGAGCACGCUUAGGCGUGUGACUGCGUACCUUUUGUAUAAUGGGUCAGCGACUUAUAUUCUGUAGCAAGGUUAACCGAAUAGGGGAGCCGAAGGGAAACCGAGUCUUAACUGGGCGUUAAGUUGCAGGGUAUAGACCCGAAACCCGGUGAUCUAGCCAUGGGCAGGUUGAAGGUUGGGUAACACUAACUGGAGGACCGAACCGACUAAUGUUGAAAAAUUAGCGGAUGACUUGUGGCUGGGGGUGAAAGGCCAAUCAAACCGGGAGAUAGCUGGUUCUCCCCGAAAGCUAUUUAGGUAGCGCCUCGUGAAUUCAUCUCCGGGGGUAGAGCACUGUUUCGGCAAGGGGGUCAUCCCGACUUACCAACCCGAUGCAAACUGCGAAUACCGGAGAAUGUUAUCACGGGAGACACACGGCGGGUGCUAACGUCCGUCGUGAAGAGGGAAACAACCCAGACCGCCAGCUAAGGUCCCAAAGUCAUGGUUAAGUGGGAAACGAUGUGGGAAGGCCCAGACAGCCAGGAUGUUGGCUUAGAAGCAGCCAUCAUUUAAAGAAAGCGUAAUAGCUCACUGGUCGAGUCGGCCUGCGCGGAAGAUGUAACGGGGCUAAACCAUGCACCGAAGCUGCGGCAGCGACGCUGAUGCGUUGUUGGGUAGGGGAGCGUUCUGUAAGCCUGCGAAGGUGUGCUGUGAGGCAUGCUGGAGGUAUCAGAAGUGCGAAUGCUGACAUAAGUAACGAUAAAGCGGGUGAAAAGCCCGCUCGCCGGAAGACCAAGGGUUCCUGUCCAACGUUAAUCGGGGCAGGGUGAGUCGACCCCUAAGGCGAGGCCGAAAGGCGUAGUCGAUGGGAAACAGGUUAAUAUUCCUGUACUUGGUGUUACUGCGAAGGGGGGACGGAGAAGGCUAUGUUGGCCGGGCGACGGUUGUCCCGGUUUAAGCGUGUAGGCUGGUUUUCCAGGCAAAUCCGGAAAAUCAAGGCUGAGGCGUGAUGACGAGGCACUACGGUGCUGAAGCAACAAAUGCCCUGCUUCCAGGAAAAGCCUCUAAGCAUCAGGUAACAUCAAAUCGUACCCCAAACCGACACAGGUGGUCAGGUAGAGAAUACCAAGGCGCUUGAGAGAACUCGGGUGAAGGAACUAGGCAAAAUGGUGCCGUAACUUCGGGAGAAGGCACGCUGAUAUGUAGGUGAAGCGACUUGCUCGUGGAGCUGAAAUCAGUCGAAGAUACCAGCUGGCUGCAACUGUUUAUUAAAAACACAGCACUGUGCAAACACGAAAGUGGACGUAUACGGUGUGACGCCUGCCCGGUGCCGGAAGGUUAAUUGAUGGGGUUAGCCGCAAGGCGAAGCUCUUGAUCGAAGCCCCGGUAAACGGCGGCCGUAACUAUAACGGUCCUAAGGUAGCGAAAUUCCUUGUCGGGUAAGUUCCGACCUGCACGAAUGGCGUAAUGAUGGCCAGGCUGUCUCCACCCGAGACUCAGUGAAAUUGAACUCGCUGUGAAGAUGCAGUGUACCCGCGGCAAGACGGAAAGACCCCGUGAACCUUUACUAUAGCUUGACACUGAACAUUGAGCCUUGAUGUGUAGGAUAGGUGGGAGGCUUUGAAGUGUGGACGCCAGUCUGCAUGGAGCCGACCUUGAAAUACCACCCUUUAAUGUUUGAUGUUCUAACGUUGACCCGUAAUCCGGGUUGCGGACAGUGUCUGGUGGGUAGUUUGACUGGGGCGGUCUCCUCCUAAAGAGUAACGGAGGAGCACGAAGGUUGGCUAAUCCUGGUCGGACAUCAGGAGGUUAGUGCAAUGGCAUAAGCCAGCUUGACUGCGAGCGUGACGGCGCGAGCAGGUGCGAAAGCAGGUCAUAGUGAUCCGGUGGUUCUGAAUGGAAGGGCCAUCGCUCAACGGAUAAAAGGUACUCCGGGGAUAACAGGCUGAUACCGCCCAAGAGUUCAUAUCGACGGCGGUGUUUGGCACCUCGAUGUCGGCUCAUCACAUCCUGGGGCUGAAGUAGGUCCCAAGGGUAUGGCUGUUCGCCAUUUAAAGUGGUACGCGAGCUGGGUUUAGAACGUCGUGAGACAGUUCGGUCCCUAUCUGCCGUGGGCGCUGGAGAACUGAGGGGGGCUGCUCCUAGUACGAGAGGACCGGAGUGGACGCAUCACUGGUGUUCGGGUUGUCAUGCCAAUGGCACUGCCCGGUAGCUAAAUGCGGAAGAGAUAAGUGCUGAAAGCAUCUAAGCACGAAACUUGCCCCGAGAUGAGUUCUCCCUGACUCCUUGAGAGUCCUGAAGGAACGUUGAAGACGACGACGUUGAUAGGCCGGGUGUGUAAGCGCAGCGAUGCGUUGAGCUAACCGGUACUAAUGAACCGUGAGGCUUAACCUU
rnacentral:rRNA from 1 species